AUUGAACGCUGGCGGCACGCUUUACACAUGCAAGUCGAACGGUAACAGGCCGCAAGGUGCUGACGAGUGGCGAACGGGUGAGUAAUGCAUCGGAACGUGCCCAGUCGUGGGGGGUAACGCAGCGAAAGCUGCGCUAAUACCGCAUACGAUCUAUGGAUGAGAGCGGGGGACCGUAAGGCCUCGCGCGAUUGGAGCGGCCGAUGUCAGAUUAGGUAGUUGGUGGGGUAAAGGCUCACCAAGCCAACGAUCUGUAGCUGGUCUGAGAGGACGACCCGCAACACUGGGACUGAGCCACGGCCCAGACUCCUACGGGAGGCAGCAGUGGGGAAUUUUGGACAAUGGGCGCAAGCCUGAUCCAGCAAUGCCGCGUGCAGGAAGAAGGCCUUCGGGUUGUAAACUGCUUUUGUACGGAACGAAACGGUCCUGGUUAAUACCUGGGGCUAAUGACGGUACCGUAAGAAUAAGCACCGGCUAACUACGUGCCAGCCGCCGCGGUAAAAC
rnacentral:rRNA from 1 species